GUGUCCAGUGUGAGGUGCAGCUGGUGGAGCCUGGAGGAGAGCUGGUGAAGCCUGGGGGGAUCCCUGAGACUCUCUGUGCAGCCUCCAGAUUCACCUUCAGUAGCUACUUCAUGAACUGGGUCCGCCAGACUCCAGGGAAGGGGCUGCAGUGGGUCGCAGAUAUUAGCAAUCAUGGAAGUAGCACAAGCUACACAGACUUUGUGAAGGGCCGAUUCACCAUCCCCAGAGAAAACGGCAAGAACACGCUGUAUCUGCAGAUGAACAGCCUGAGAGCUGAGGACACAGCCGUGUAUUACUGUGCUAGAGACACA